AGAAGCAGAGCGGUAGGGACCCUGGCUAUUGGAAGGCCGAAGCGCGGGACUGAGGGUCGGGAGGCGUGGGACACUUGGGGGCGAGGGGCGAGGCCCUCGCGGAUCACCGCGUGGGGCGGCUGUGCUGGGAGUCUGGGCCGGGGAGCUAGGCCCCCAGGGUUCGCCACAACUCUGCACUCCUAAACUGGCUCUCUUCGAAACGAGGGACCUUUUAUUCAUUUGCCUUUUACCUUCCUCAACUUAGUCCAGUGGCUGUUUGUAGCUGCAGGAUGUUUUGUUAUCUUUUAGUGACAGGAUCUGUGACAGUCAGCUGGUUUUGAACUCAAAAUCCUCCAGCCCUUGUCUCUGGAGAGGUGGAAGUACGGAACAGGCCAGCACCAGAACACUCUAGAUUGGAUUGAUUGAUUGUCUAUCAAUCUUCCUUUCUCGAAAGUUAGUUGGUUGAUUGUUUGGUUGUUUUUUUUUUAAAAAGGGUUUAUAUAUUUUAUAUAUGUGAGUACAUUGGUGCUGUCUUCAGACACACCAGAAGAGGGCGUCAUAUCCCAUUACAGAUGGUUGGGAGCCACCAUGUGGUUGCUUGGAGUUGAACGCAGGACCUCUGGUAGAGCAGUCAGUGCUCUUACCCACUGAGCUGUCUCUCCAGCUGAUUGGUUGGUUUUUGAGACAUCAUCUCUUGUAGUCUACCCAGACUGGCCAAGAACUUGGAACUUGUCCUGUAGCCAUCCUUAAACUGCUGAUCCCUCUACCACCACCUUUCAGGUACUGGUAUUUUGGGGAUUGGACACCUGGCUUCCUCACCAUUACCACUCCCAAACAGGAUUUCUUGUCACCCACAGUGGCCUUGUACUUGUUAUGAAUGAAUUUGGGCUCUAGUUCUUUCAGUCUCCACCUCCUCUCUGUUGGGGUUAUAUGCAUGAGUUUUCACACCAGGCUCAGACCUCAUUGGUGUUUUAAGUAAAAUCCUGGUUGGUUUGCCUGAUUUGAGUUCACUAGCCUAUCCCUUAUGAUAGCAUCACUUAGUAACGCAGCACAAAUUUACUUGUAAUAUCUGGUUAGAUUUGCCUGUUGGUUCAAAUGGAUAUUACCCAGCAAACCUGUCCUUGUCACACCCUGUAACAUAUACUCCCUCCACAAAAGUCAUCAGUGUUUUCUGGCAUACCAUCUACCAGGUGUCUCAUUCAGAAACUUUAUAACUAACUCCUUGACUUUGCCCUCUACCUUACCAUAAAUCAGUUGCUAGGUCUUCAGUAUUUGUACUACCAAUUCAUGCUUUGGUUUUUCUAUUAUUGAUACAUGCUCUAGAUAACUAUUGGUCUGUUACUACUUUCAGUUCAUUAUUGUCAUAACAGACAGAGUCAUUAAUCAAGAAUUACAGGGGCCAAUAAGAUGGUUAAUGCAGCCAAGGGAAACUUGAUGAAGUCAAUCAUCAAAAAUGAUUGAGAGUAAAAGAACCAACUCCACAGAAUUGUCUACUGACCAUCACAUUUCCGUCUUGACACAGAGUUGUCAAGAUAACUGAUUCCCAAAUGUCCUCCAACCUCUGUAUUCAUGCCAGGACACAUACUUGCAUGGACAUAAGUAAAUGUGAUUAAAAAACAGCCUGACAUGUGCUGUGAACGUGAGUUUGGGGCACUGUGAAAGUCAGGAUUUAGGAAAUUUGGAUGCAGAUUCAGAAAAAUAUCAGAUAGCCUUGACUAUGAUUCUGAUAGUUUCAAAACUGAAAAACUAGUACUAUGGGUCUCUAUAAAGAGACACUAAUGACUGACCUUCAGAACAGUUAUUUCCCUUGCAUAUUCUAAAACUGAUGGACUAGUUAUGUGAUCUUAAGGAAGAUCUUUUUAUAUUUCUAAGCCCCAGUUUCCCCGGUUGUAACAUGAAUGGAACAAAAGAAUCUUUUAAGAUCCAGCCCAGUUCUAAAAUUGAUUUCUAUGCCAUAUAACAUGAAUUAUGAGAUCAAAUGUAGCAUUAAAAAAAAAAAGAACAUGAAAAUACAUCGAGCUAGACUUACUUUGAUUUUCCUCUAGGGUAUGCACGCCUCCCUUGUCAUCCAAAAAGUUCCUUGAAAUCAGCUAAGUUUUUCUUGUCUGCUAUGUUCUCAGAACCAAGUUCAUAUUGGAACCCCAUAUUUAUUUAUUUGAGUAAAUUGGCAAGAUAUAAAUAUACAGUAUCUUUUCUCUGAGAUUAAUUUACUUUUAUUUACUUGUAUAUGUGUGGAUGACUGUGGAGGCCAGAAAAGGGUGUCAGAUCUCCUGGAGUUGGAGUUACCUGAUGUGGGUGUUGGGAACAAAUUGGGGACCUCUAUAAGACCAGAUGCAAAUGUUUGUACAAGAUUCUGUGGUUGAUAUGGGGGUGCUGGAGCUUGGGACCUUAAGACACAGACUUGGGAUUCUACUAUUAAGCUACACUUCCAGAUGCAAAUUGUAAUACCAGUAGAAAAAUAAAAAUCCACCUCUAAUCUCUUUACCAGUUUGUAUCUACUCCUGGGAGUGAGAUUUCCAUACUAGUCUCUUCUCUCUCUUGAUUUUUUUUCAUCUAGGCUUUUAGGGGGAGCACAUUUAUAUCAGUUUUAUUGCAGAGUAGGUUCUGUAUUGAUGAGUAUGUUUUUAACCUUACUUAGAACAAAAAUUAUUUUUUGAAGUUGAAGACAUUUUAAUUUUAUAUGUGCACACACCUAUAUGCAUGUUCAUAUGUUCAUGGGCACAUAUGUAUGUGUAGAUACUAGAGUUUGUAGAUACUAGACCAAAUGUCUUCCUCAAUUUCUCUGUUUUAUUUAUUGAGACAGGGUCCCUCACUAAACCCACCAAUUCUGUCUAGUCUAGCUAGCCAGUUAACCCUAGGGAUCCAGUCUUUGCCUCUGAGGCAUAGUAUUGAAGAUAGCCACCACUUGAGUUCACAUGGGUUCUGGGAAUCCAGACUCUGGUCCUUGGGCUUAUAGCAUUUCCCCAACCCAAUAUUUUUAUUAUUAUCUGGGUUGAAUUUUUAUACCUGGAUACAAAUUAUAACAAACUAUAUUUACUCAUGCUUAAGCAAUUUUCAUUAAAAAAACUACAUUUUGACCUGGUAUAAUGGUUACAUACAUGCCUAUAAUUCCAGCACCUGUAGGCAGAGGCAUAUGCAUCUCUUGAGUUUUAGGGCAACCUGGUUCACAUAGUGAAUUCCAGACCAGCCAAGACUACACAGUGAGACCCCUGUCUCAAAACACGCACACACACUAUGUUUGAGUUUAGUUUUAAGGCAGAGCCUCCCUGUGUAGCCCUGGCUUAGACUCAACUGGCAGACAUUCUGCCUCAGACUCCCAAGUGUUAGGAUUGUAGGAGUAUGUCACCUUGCCUGGACACAUUAUAUUUUGUUCUACUAUAUCAUAAUACCUAGAAUUACAUUGUUUAAUUUUUAUCAUCUAUAGUGUUUUCUGCAAGUGGUUAUUAAUUUUUGAAUUGAAAUUGAUCAAAAUAAGGGAUUAUAUACUAUUACCCUGAAAGUUUAAGUAAAAGGAAAGUUAAGAAUCUUCUGAAAUCACUUAAGACUUUCAUGAGCAAAUAACAACUCAACUUUAGGUGAUAGGUUAAAUAAACUUUUCAGGUAGAUGUGUACCUUUGUAAAAAUGAGGUUAUUGUUUCCUACUUUAAAGGUUAUGUUAAUGUUGAAUAAUGUAUAUAAAGUGACUGCUAUAGUAGAUCUCAGCAUUUUUUAUUUUUUAAUCUUUGUGUUCCUAGUACCACAGUAGUAUCUAGCACAUGGCAGUGCUUAAUGUGCUUAAACUGCACUAGUAAAGCCAGUAGUUUAGAAGAAGCAGGAUAACAGACAAAUACUAUAGAUGGAGUAGUGUGACCUACAUCAGUCAAUACUAGGAACCCCUGAGGCUUCAGAGAGGUAACAUUAAAGAUGAGACUUGAAAGAAUAGAACUUUGAUAGGGACACUGGUGAGGCUAAAAAGACACAGGUGCAUGUCAGAGGGAUAUAUGGAAGUACAUCCUAUUUUCAUAGCAAAUACAGAGUAAGAAUAUGAGGCCAUAAAGAUGUCAAACAAAGAUCAGACCACAACCUAUCUUUCAUUUCAUUAAGAAAUUUACACUUAAGCAGCUGAGAGCCACAUUAAAAUUUUUUAAAAAUUGUAUUCAUUCAAAAAAUGUUGGUUGGUUAUUGUAUGCUAAGCACUGAAGAAGGAAAGAAAAUGUGUACCCUUGAGGAAUUUACAUUAUUAUGUAGAGAUGAGAAAUAAUCUUGCAAGUUAUCAAAUAAAUUUUAAUCAUAGCAAUAUAGAAAACUACUGGAAUGUUUUGAAAGGAAACAUUACUUGAAGCUUUCUAGCUUUGAGGAUGAUGGCAAAUAUGGUGAUAUAAUUAAGCAAUUGUAUUACUUUAAAUAUAAUUCCACACAUACCAUGGUACCGAGAAUUGAACAUUCUAGGGAAGUACUGUACCACUGAGUGACACCCCAGCCUCAUACAGUGUUACAGAACAGAGGAAUAAAAUGUGGGUCAGAGUGGAGUGGAUAAAUGUUACUGACAGCUGGGUGUGGUGGCAGAAAAACCUAUCCACUUAGGGUGCCCGGAUAGGAGGAUCACAAACCCAUCCUGAGCUAUUUAGUUCUAUGCCAACUAUCUAGCAAGACACUGCGAAAGAAAAGGAAGGAAGGAAGGGAGG
rnacentral:lncRNA from 1 species